UGGGGAAUUUUGGACAAUGGGCGCAAGCCUGAUCCAGCCAUGCCGCGUGCAGGAUGAAGGCCUUCGGGUUGUAAACUGCUUUUGUACGGAACGAAAAGACUCCUUCUAAUAAAGGGGGUCCAUGACGGUACCGUAAGAAUAAGCACCGGCUAACUACGUGCCAGCAGCCGCGGUAAUACGUAGGGGGCGAGCGUUAAUCGGAAUUACUGGGCGUAACGCGAGCGCAGGCGGUUAUAUAAGACAGGUGUGAAAUCCCCGGGCUCAACCUGGGAACUGCAUUUGUGACUGUAUAGCUAGAGUACGGCAGAGGAGGAUGGAACUCCGCGUGUAGCAGUGAAAUGCGUAGAUAUGCGGAGGAACACCGAUGGCGAAGGCAAUCCCCUGGGCCUGCACUGACGCUCAUGCACGAAAGCGUGGGGAGCAAACA
rnacentral:rRNA from 1 species